rnacentral:lncRNA from 1 species
AAACUUGCUUUUCCAGUAUGAGGAUAAAAUGAGCUCAAAUUAAAUACUAUGGGUCUCUUAAUUUGCACUAUUUUAUUUAAACUGCAGUUUAUAUCUUAUCGAAAUUAUGUUGCCGGUUCUGAAGAUGUUUCAAAAAACAAAAAAUGCAAAAAUUCUUCUAGUAAAUGUUACCAACUAUCCUUGUAAGACAUAAAUCUGGACCAAC